UCCACUGUUCACACGGACAGAGUCUCCCCUGUAUUUGCACGGCGUCGCACAAGUACAAUUUUACAACCAGAGUACAUCCAGAAUACAACCACAACCAUAUGAACAUACAACCUCAUCCGCACAUACAGACGUCCAUACAUUCACCAUUCACAACACGACGGUAUUCAUAGUUUUUAAACAUAAAUCCAAAUCUAUCAUUUGAAACAUUUCCUUCCCGAAAACAAGUUUUGGAAUACUAAGUCUCGGAAAUCCAUUAAAAGCUCCUUUUAAAACUGUUUCCCACACGGAAACCUUUAUCUUUUAAAACACUACCACGAGGGGUAGAAAACCAUUGAAAACUGUAUCGAAUAUGAAAACCCUUUU
rnacentral:lncRNA from 1 species